rnacentral:rRNA from 1 species
GAUGAACGCUGGCGGCGUGCCUAAUACAUGCAAGUCGAGCGAAUGGAUUAAGAGCUUGCUCUUAUGAAGUUAGCGGCGGACGGGUGAGUAACACGUGGGUAACCUGCCCAUAAGACUGGGAUAACUCCGGGAAACCGGGGCUAAUACCGGAUAACAUUUUGAACCGCAUGGUUCGAAAUUGAAAGGCGGCUUCGGCUGUCACUUAUGGAUGGACCCGCGUCGCAUUAGCUAGUUGGAGAGGUAACGGCUCACCAAGGCAACGAUGCGUAGCCGACCUGAGAGGGUGAUCGGCCAACCUGGGACUGAGACACGGCCCAGACUCCUACGGGAGGCAGCAGUAGGGAAUCUUCCGCAAUGGACGAGAGUCUGACGGAGCAACGCCGCGUGAGUGAUGAAGGCUUUCGGGUCGUAAAACUCUGUUGUUAGGGAAGAACAAGUGCUAGUUGAAUAAGCUGACACCUUGACGGUACCUAACCAGAAAGCCACGGCUAACUACGUGCCAGCCGCCGCCGUAA